UGGCUUUUGGGUAGCUGUUCCUAUGUUAUUUCUAACUGAAUGUGACAUGCAAAGUUCUUGACAUUUCAGAAUAUUCUCUUCCUUUGAGCCCGACUAAGAGUCAGGUCUACCUACAACUUCAUGUUUACAGGGGUCUAUGUGUCUAUCCAUCCAUCUCUUCAUCUAGACCUGUUCCUUCUCUUUAAGUUAAGCUUCUGCAGCUAAAGUAAACUCUGCAGUUCAUCUCUGACCCAUACCUGAGCUGUUAACGAUCAGCAGCCAGCCGCUCAGUCAAUUCUGCAGUUUUUGCAUCUUGAUUGGUUCCUUGUCAGAACAGAGACUUAUAUUCCCUGAAUCCGUUUCCCAGCUUUCCCUGUAUUCACUCUGUAAACCCCAUGUAUGCCUGUUCAAGUAUAUUGGGGCUGCAGAGAUGGCUCAAUGGUUAAGAGCAUUUGUUGCUGGA
rnacentral:lncRNA from 1 species